UAUGUGAUCGUCUCUCGCAUAUCAAUAAGCGGAGGAAAAGAAACUAACAAGGAUUCCCCUAGUAACGGCGAGUGAAGCGGGAAGAGCUCAAAUUUGAAAUCUCAAAGGGUUUCCCUUUACGAAUUGUAGUUUAAAGAAGUGUUUUCUGUUGAGGUUUUGGUAAAAGUUCUUUGGAAUAGGACAUCAUAGAGGGUGAGAAUCCCGUAUUUGACCUUUUACUUUCAACUUUGUGAUACACUUUCAAAGAGUCGGAUUGUUUGGGAAUGCAGUCCAAAAUGGGUGGUAAAUUUCAUCUAAAGCUAAAUAUUGGCGAGAGACCGAUAGCGAACAAGUACCGUGAGGGAAAGAUGAAAAGAACUUUGAAAAGAGAGUUAAACAGUACGUGAAAUUGUCAAAAGGGAAGCGUUUGACACCAGUGUUGUUUUUCUGAAAAUCAAUUAAAGAACUGUUUAUGCUAAGCUGUUUAGACUUUAUCAGCUAUCUGUUUAGUUUUGAGCUUUUCUUUAAUGCACUUUUCAGUUAACAAGUCAACAUCAAUUUCUUUUGCUGUAAAAAAGCUUGAGGAAGGUGGCUUGAGAUUCGUCUUAAGUGUUUAUAGCCUCUUGCCUAUGCAGUCGGAGAGAUUGAGGUCUGCAGCGUAGAUCCUUCGGGGCUAAAUGCAUUUGUGCUAAGUUAUAACAUUUUAUAGACAACUUGUUGACUAUGAUUUGUCUUGUAGCUUACUCGCUUAUGUUAUUUUACCUACGCUUAGGAUGUUGAAGACUCUACAGAGAUA
rnacentral:rRNA from 1 species